GUGUUUGUAGAAAGGAGAGACAGUUGGCAUCUCCGCCGACAGCGACAUGAUCAACUUUCGGGCUUUACCUGUUACCAGCCAUGCCAAACCAAAGAAAAUUGGUAGAGAGACUCUU
rnacentral:ncRNA from 1 species